rnacentral:rRNA from 1 species
UACGCAACCUUCCUUUAACUGGAGAAUAGCCCCUCGAAAGAGGGAUUAAUACUCCGUAACAUAUACAUGUGGCAUCACAAGUAUAUUAUAGCUCAGGCGGUUAAAGAUGGGCGUGCGCCUGAUUAGAUAGUUGGCGGGGUAACGGCCCACCAAGUCUGCGAUCAGUAACUGGUGUGAGAGCACGACCAGUCACACGGGCACUGAGACACGGGCCCG